AUUGAACGCUGGCGGUAUGCUUAACACAUGCAAGUCGAACGGUAGCAGGCCUUCGGGCGCUGACGAGUGGCGGACGGGUGAGUAACGCGUAGGAAUCUGCCUCAUAGUGGGGGACAACGUGUGGAAACGCACGCUAAUACCGCAUACGCCCUACGGGGGAAAGCGGGGGACCUUCGGGCCUCGCGCUAUGAGAUGAGCCUGCGUUAGAUUAGCUAGUUGGUAGGGUAAAGGCCUACCAAGGCGACGAUCUAUAGCUGGUCUGAGAGGACGAUCAGCCACACUGGGACUGAGACACGGCCCAGACUCCUACGGGAGGCAGCAGUGGGGAAUAUUGGACAAUGGGCGCAAGCCUGAUCCAGCAAUACCGCGUGUGUGAAGAAGGCCCUAGGGUUGUAAAGCACUUUCAAUAGGGAGGAAAACCUGUCGGUCAAUACCCGGCAGCUUGACAUUACCUAUACAAGAAGCACCGGCUAACUCCGUGCCAGCAGCCGCCGUAAGAC
rnacentral:rRNA from 1 species